UGAGGAAUAUUGGACAAUGGGCGAGAGCCUGAUCCAGCCAUGCCGCGUGCAGGAAGACAGCCCUAUGGGUUGUAAACUGCUUUUAUACAGGAAGAAACACCCCGACGUGUCGGGGCUUGACGGUACUGUAAGAAUAAGGAUCGGCUAACUCCGUGCCAGCAGCCGCGGUAAUACGGAGGAUGCAAGCGUUAUCCGGAAUCAUUGGGUUUAAAGGGUCCGUAGACGGAUAAUUAAGUCAGGGGUGAAAGUCUGCAGCUCAACUGUAAGACUGCCCUUGAUACUGACUAUCUUGAAUCGUUGUGAAGUGGUUAGAAUAUAUAGUAUAGCGGUGAAAUGCAUAGAUAUUACAUAGAAUACCGAUUGCGAAGGCAGGUCACUAACAACGUAUUGACGCUGAGGGACGAAAGCGUGGGGAGCGAACAGGAUUAGAUACCCUGGUAGUCCACGCCGUAAACGAUGGAUACUAGCUGUCCGGCCUUCGGGCUGGGUGGCCAAGCGAAAGUGAUAAGUAUCCCACCUGGGGAGUACGUUCGCAAGAAUG
rnacentral:rRNA from 1 species